CCGACCUACGGGAGGCAGCAGUAGGGAAUCUUCCACAAUGGACGAAAGUCUGAUGGAGCAACGCCGCGUGAGUGAAGAAGGGUUUCGGCUCGUAAAGCUCUGUUGGUAGUGAAGAAAGAUAGAGGUAGUAACUGGCCUUUAUUUGACGGUAAUUACUUAGAAAGUCACGGCUAACUACGUGCCAGCAGCCGCGGUAAUACGUAGAUGGCAAGCGUUGUCCGGAUUUUUUGGGCGUAAAGCGAGGGC
rnacentral:rRNA from 1 species